AUGGGUCUAAUAGCGAUCGCAACUGCUACAUCAGGUAUCGUAGCGUCGAUAAUGCCUGGAGGCCGGACUGCACAAUCCAGGUUCAAAAUUCCAAUCAAGCUCACUGACAACAACAUGUGUAGCUUCACAAAGCAGAGUGGUAUGGCAGAGUUGCUUAAACAGGUGUCCUUGAUAAUUUGGGAUAAAGUUGAUAUGACAAAGCGUCAAGCAGUUGAGACACUUGAUACAUCGCUGCAGGAUAUAAUGGAAUGUUCUUUACCAUUUGGUGGAAAGGUUGUCGUCUUUGGUGGCGAUUUCAGGCAGGUCCUCCCCGUUGUGACCCAAGGGACAAGAGCAUAG
rnacentral:rRNA from 1 species